rnacentral:rRNA from 1 species
AAGGGGAGCAAUCCCUGAGUAAAGUGGCGACCGGGUGAGUAACACGUGACUAACCUACCUUCGAGUGGGGGAUAACCUAGGGAAACCUGGGCUAAUACCGCAUAACAUCUUUGGAGUGGAAAUUCUGGAGAUCAAAAGAGCAAUUUGCUUGAAGAGGGGGUCGCGGCUGAUUAGCUAGUUGGCGGGGUAAUGGCCCACCAAGGCUUUGAUCGGUAGCCGGCCUGAGAGGGCGCACGGCCACACUGGAACUGAAACACGGUCCAGACUCCUACGGGAGGCAGCAGUGGGGAAUUUUGCGCAAUGGGGGAAACCCUGACGCAGCAACGCCGCGUGGAGGAUGAAGUCCCUUGGG